rnacentral:sRNA from 1 species
AAAAAUGAAACUCGAUGUGCAGAGGACGAAACGCAAUAGCAAUUUUUUGAUAACCAGAUCCAACAAGAUUGCUUGGAACAUGUUUAAAAUGCUGCUGCUCUUGGGGCCUUCAGACUUAUGCCUUCAUAUAAAAGAAAUAGAAAAUGGCAGAGAAAACUGCGAGUCUGGCAAAAUCCUUAAGGAUAAUGGCGAGCUAAAUGAUCGAAGAAUUCUUUCUAUGCAAUGGAAGAGUACAGCCAGAAGAUACAACAAGAGGGUUUCUAACUACUGAGAA